rnacentral:rRNA from 1 species
AUGCAUAACUACGGAGGCGGCGGCGGGGCGGGGGACAUCGUGGAGGCGGGCGGCGAGAGGGCCGUGCUGCCCCACAGCGGGCCUCUGGUCGGGAAGCGCGCCGCCACGCGGAAGAGCGCGCGGUUCGCGGACUCCGUGUCCGCGCCGCUGCGCCGCGGGAACCACCACCAUGGCCAGGACGACGACGACGACGACUACGUGGAGGUCACCCUCGACGUGCGGGACGACUCGGUGGCCGUGCACAGCGUCAAGCCGGCGCCCGGCGGCGAGGAGGACCCCGACGUCACGCUGCUGGCGCGGGCGCUGGAGACGCGCUCCUCCUCGUACGGCGGCAGGGCCCAUGGCGGCGGCGUGCUCCGGAACGCGUCGACAAGGAUCAAGCAGGUGUCGCAGGAGCUCCGGAAAAUCGCGUCCGUCAAGCGCCGCCCCAGCCGCAUCGACCGGUCCAAGUCCGCCGCCGCGCACGCGCUCAAGGGGCUCAAGUUCAUCAGCCGCCCCGACGGCUGGCCCGCCGUUGAGAAGCGCUUCGACGAGCUCGCCGAGAACGGCGGCCUCCUCCACCGCUCCAAGUUCGGCAAGUGCAUCGGGAUGAAGGAGCUCGCCUUCGCCGGCGAGCUGUUCGACGCGCUCGCCAGGCGCCGGGACAUCUCCGGGGACAGCAUCAGCAAGGCGGAGCUGCUCGAGUUCUGGGACCAGAUCUCCGACACCAGCUUCGACAGCCGCCUGCAGACCUUCUUCGACAUGGUGGACAAGGACGCCGACGGCAGGAUCACCGAGGCGGAGGUCGGGCAGAUCAUCGGGCUCAGCGCCGCCGCCAACGACCUCAAGAAGAUCACGGAGCGCACAGAAGAGUACGCCCGGCUCAUCAUGGAGGAGCUCGACCCCGACAACCUCGGCUACAUCGAGCUGUCCAACCUGGAGACGCUGCUGCUGCAGGCGCCGCCGACCCAGCCGACGCGGGGCGGGAGCGGGACGACCAGCAGCCGUAACCUCAGCCAGAUGCUGAGCCAGCACCUCAAGCCGACGACGGAGCCCAACCCGCUCCGCCGGUGGUACCGCCGCGCCAGCUACUUCCUGGAGGACAACUGGCGCCGUUGCUGGGUGAUCAUCCUGUGGUUCUCCAUCUGCGCCGGCCUCUUCGCCUGGAAGUUCGUGCAGUACCGGCGGCGCGCCGUGUUCGAGGUGAUGGGCUACUGCGUGUGCGUCGCCAAGGGCGGCGCCGAGACGCUCAAGUUCAACAUGGCGCUCGUGCUCCUCCCCGUGUGCCGCAACACCAUCACGUGGCUCCGCAACCGCACCGCCGCGGGGCGGGUCGUGCCGUUCGACGACAACCUCAACUUCCACAAGGUGAUCGCCGCGGGGAUCACCGUCGGCGCCGGGAUGCACAUCAUCUCCCAUUUGGCGUGCGACUUCCCGCGGCUGCUGCACGCCACCGAGGAGGAGUACGAGCCGAUGAAGCCUUUCUUCGGCGACGUCAAGCCGCCCAACUACUGGUGGUUCGUCAAGGGCACGGAGGGGUGGACGGGGCUGGUGAUGCUGGCGCUCAUGGCCGUCGCCUUCACGCUCGCCACGCCGUGGUUCCGCCGCGGCAGGGUCCGCCUCCCGGGGCCGCUCAGCCGGCUCACCGGGUUCAACGCCUUCUGGUACACGCACCACCUCUUCAUCAUCGUCUACGCGCUGCUCAUCGUCCACGGCCACUUCCUCUACCUCACCAAGAAGUGGCAGAAGAAGUCGACGUGGAUGUACCUGGCGGCGCCGAUGGUCCUGUACGCGUGCGAGCGGCUGGCGCGGGCGCUCCGGUCCAGCGUGCGGCCGGUGAAGAUACUCAAGGUCGCCGUGUACCCCGGCAACGUGCUGUCGCUGCGCUUCUCCAAGCCGCAGGGGUUCAGGUGCAAGAGCGGGCAGUACAUCUUCGUCAACUGCGCCGCCGUCUCGCCGUUCCAGUGGCACCCGUUCUCCAUCACGUCGGCGCCGCACGACGACUACAUCAGCGUCCACAUCAGGACGCUCGGCGACUGGACCCGGGAGCUCAAGAGCGUCUUCGAGAAGGUUUGCCGGCCGCCGACGGACGGGAAGAGCGGGCUGCUCCGGGCAGAGUACGCCGGUGACGGCGGUGCCAUGCCCAGCCCGAGCAGCUUCCCCACGGUGCUGAUCGACGGGCCGUACGGCGCGCCGGCGCAGGACUACAAGCAAUACGACGUGGUGCUGCUGGUGGGGCUGGGCAUCGGGGCCACGCCCAUGAUCUCCAUCAUCAAGGACAUCAUCAACAACAUGAAGCGGCUCGACGGCGACAUCGAGUCCGGCAGCCCCAGCGACAGGAGCGUGUCGGCGGCGUCGUUCCGGACGCGGCGCGCCUACUUCUACUGGGUGACGCGGGAGGAAGGCUCCUUCGACUGGUUCCGCGGCGUCAUGGACGAGGUGGCCGAGAGCGACAAGAAGGGCAUCAUCGAGCUCCAUAACUACUGCACCAGCGUCUACGAGGAAGGGGACGCCCGGUCGGCGCUCAUCGCCAUGCUCCAGUCCCUCAACCACGCCAAGCACGGCGUCGACGUCGUCUCCGGCACACGCGUCAAGACCCACUUCGCCCGGCCCAACUGGCGCAAAGUCUACAAGGACAUCGCCAUCGCCCACGCCGGGCAGCGCGUCGGAGUGUUCUACUGCGGCGCACCGGUGCUGAUAAAGGAGCUGCGCCAGCUUGCCCAAGAUUUCUCGAGGAAGACGAGCACCAAAUUCGAGUUCCACAAGGAGAAUUUCUAA